rnacentral:ncRNA from 1 species
GCAAACGGGGAGCUCGUGUAAACGGGCUGAGAGUAAGCUGUAUCGCUUAGACCCAUGAACCUGAUUUGGAUAAUGCCAACGUAGGGAACGGUUUUUUU